UCACUUUCACAAAUGACAGUAUCAUAGCCAAUGAAGUUUAUCCAAGGCAUGAUUAUUGCUAAUUGAAAACUUCUCCCUAUAGCU
rnacentral:snRNA from 1 species